GGCUCAGGAUGAACGCUAGCUACAGGCUUAACACAUGCAAGUCGAGGGGAAACGACAUCGAAAGCUUGCUUUUGAUGGGCGUCGACCGGCGCACGGGUGAGUAACGCGUAUCCAACCUGCCCACCACUUGGGGAUAACUUUGCGAAAGUAAGACUAAUACCCAAUGAUAUCUCUAGAAGACAUCUGAAAGAGAUUAAAGAUUUAUCGGUGAUGGAUGGGGAUGCGUCUGAUUAGCUUGUUGGCGGGGUAACGGCCCACCAAGGCGACGAUCAGUAGGGGUUCUGAGAGGAAGGUCCCCCACAUUGGAACUGAGACACGGUCCAAACUCCUACGGGAGGCAGCAGUGAGGAAUAUUGGUCAAUGGGCGAGAGCCUGAACCAGCCAAGUAGCGUGCAGGAUGACGGCCCUAUGGGUUGUAAACUGCUUUUAUAAGGGAAUAAAGUGAGUCUCGUGAGACUUUUUUGCAUGUACCUUAUGAAUAAGGACCGGCUAAUUCCGUGCCAGCAGCCGCGGUAAUACGGAAGGUCCGGGCGUUAUCCGGAUUUAUUGGGUUUAAAGGGAGCGUAGGCCGGAGAUUAAGCGUGUUGUGAAAUGUAGAUGCUCAACAUCUGAACUGCAGCGCGAACUGGUUCCCUUGAGUACGCACAAAGUGGGCGGAAUUCGUGGUGUAGCGGUGAAAUGCUUAGAUAUCACGAAGAACUCCGAUUGCGAAGGCAGCUCACUGGAGCGCAACUGACGCUGAAGCUCGAAAGUGCGGGUAUCGAACAGGAUUAGAUACCCUGGUAGUCCGCACGGUAAACGAUGGAUGCCCGCUGUUGGUCUGAAUAGGUCAGCGGCCAAGCGAAAGCAUUAAGCAUCCCACCUGGGGAGUACGCCGGC
rnacentral:rRNA from 1 species